GGGCGGGUAGCUCAGUGGUAGAGCAUUCGACUUUUAAUCGAAUGGCCGUGGGUUCGAUCCCCACCCCGCCUA
rnacentral:tRNA from 1 species